UCAAGUGCGGCAUUGCCCCUUGGCCGAGAGACCCGGUUUCUUGCGUUGCGUACCCACACGAUGCCGUGGCAUCUGUUCUUGUCCCAACGACCCUCGCUCGUCUAGUGCCCCCCCGUGUCUUCCUGGCGGGGGGGGCGGGGGGCACGAGGCGAAACCUGUGGCUUGUUCCGUCACCCACGUCGCGUCCGGCUGUCGUGGUGAACGGGGCACUGCUUAAGCUCUCGGAUACGGAAAGCAUGGAGGGAUCAUUGACAUCUCGUCCUCGCCCGAGGAUGCAUGAGAUGGACCCCGACGCCGGUGCACGACCGUCGCUCCCGCCUCGGUUCGGCCGUGCGGGCAGGACGUCGUUGAGGAAUGCUACCUGGUUGAUCCUGCCAGUA
rnacentral:misc_RNA from 1 species